UGAUCAUGGCUCAGAUUGAACGCUGGCGGCAGGCUUAACACAUGCAAGUCGAACGAUGACUCUCUAGCUUGCUAGAUAUGAUUAGUGGCGGACGGGUGAGUAACAUUUAGGAAUCUGCCUAGUAGUGGGGGAUAGCUCGGGGAAACUCGAAUUAAUACCGCAUACGACCUACGGGUGAAAGGGGGCGCAAGCUCUUGCUAUUAGAUGAGCCUAAAUCAGAUUAGCUAGUUGGUGGGGUAAAGGCCUACCAAGGCGACGAUCUGUAACUGGUCUGAGAGGAUGAUCAGUCACACCGGAACUGAGACACGGUCCGGACUCCUACGGGAGGCAGCAGUGGGGAAUAUUGGACAAUGGGGGCAACCCUGAUCCAGCCAUGCCGCGUGUGUGGAGAAGGCCUUUUGGUUGUAAAGCACUUUAAGCAGGGAGGAGAGGCUAAUGGUUAAUACCCAUUAGAUUAGACGUUACCUGCAGAAUAAGCACCGGCUAACUCUGUGCCAGCAGCCGCGGUAAUACAGAGGGUGCGAGCGUUAAUCGGAAUUACUGGGCGUAAAGCGAGUGUAGGUGGCUCAUUAAGUCACAUGUGAAAUCCCCGGGCUUAACCUGGGAACUGCAUGUGAUACUGGUGGUGCUAGAAUAUGUGAGAGGAAAGUAGAAUUCCAGGUGUAGCGGUGAAAUGCGUAGAGAUCUGGAGGAAUACCGAUGGCGAAGGCAGCUUCCUGGCAUAAUAUUGACACUGAGAUUCGAAAGCGUGGGUAGCAAACAGGAUUAGAUACCCUGGUAGUCCACGCCGUAAACGAUGUCUACUAGCCGUUGGGGGUCCUUGAGACUUUAGUGGCGCAGUUAACGCGAUAAGUAGACCGCCUGGGGAGUACGGCCGCAAGGUUAAAACUCAAAUGAAUUGACGGGGGCCCGCACAAGCGGUGGAGCAUGUGGUUUAAUUCGAUGCAACGCGAAGAACCUUACCUGGUCUUGACAUAGUGAGAAUCCUGCAGAGAUGCGGGAGUGCCUUCGGGAAUUCACAUACAGGUGCUGCAUGGCUGUCGUCAGCUCGUGUCGUGAGAUGUUGGGUUAAGUCCCGCAACGAGCGCAACCCUUUUCCUUAUUUGCCAGCGGGUUAAGCCGGGAACUUUAAGGAUACUGCCAGUGACAAGCUGGAGGAAGGCGGGGACGACGUCAAGUCAUCAUGGCCCUUACGACCAGGGCUACACACGUGCUACAAUGGUAGGUACAGAGGGUUGCCACACAGCGAUGUGAUGCUAAUCUCAAAAAGCCUAUCGUAGUCCGGAUUGGAGUCUGCAACUCGACUCCAUGAAGUCGGAAUCGCUAGUAAUCGCAGAUCAGAAUGCUGCGGUGAAUACGUUCCCGGGCCUUGUACACACCGCCCGUCACACCAUGGGAGUCUAUUGCACCAGAAGUAGGUAGCCUAACGAAAGAGGGCGCUUACCACGGUGUGGUCGAUGACUGGGGUGAAGUCGUAACAAGGUA
rnacentral:rRNA from 1 species